AUACGGAUGGUGCGAGCGUUGUUCGGAAUUACUGGGCGUAAAGGGCGCGUAGGCGGCGAUGUAAGUCAAAUGUGAAAGUCCUCGGCUUAACCGGGGAAGUGCAUCUGAAACUGCAUUGCUUGAGUAUGGGAGAGGAAAGUGGAAUUCCCGGUGUAGAGGUGAAAUUCGUAGAGAUCGGGAGGAAUACCGGUGGCGAAGGCGACUUGCUGGACCAAUACUGACGCUGAGGCGCGAAAGCGUGGGGAGCAAACAGGAUUAGAAACCCUAGUAGUCC
rnacentral:rRNA from 1 species